rnacentral:rRNA from 1 species
AACGAACGCUGGCGGCGUGGAUAAGACAUGCAAGUCGAGCGCUGAUUAGUGGGUAGCAAUAUCCGCUAGUCGGAGCGGCGCAAGGGUGCGUAACACGUGGGUAAUCUGCCAUGAAGUUUGGGAUAACUUGCUGAAAGGCGAGCUAAUACCGGAUGUGAAAAUUGGAAGGCAUCUUUUGAUUUUCAAAGCUGGGGACCGUAAGGCCUGGCGCUUCAUGAUGAGCCCGCGGCCUAUCAGCUAGUUGGUGAGGUAACGGCUCACCAAGGCUAAGACGGGUAGCUGGUCUGAGAGGACGACCAGCCACACUGGAACUGAGACACGGUCCAGACACCUACGGGUGGCAGCAGUCGAGAAUUUUUCACAAUGGGCGCAAGCCUGAUGGAGCGACGCCGCGUGGGGGAUGAAUGGCUUCGGCCCGUAAACCCCUGUCAUUUGCGAACAAAUUGGUUCACCUAAUACUUGAACCAUUGAUAGUAGCGAAAGAGGAAGGGACGGCUAACUCUGUGCCAGCAGCCGCGGUAAUACAGAGGUCCCAAGCGUUGUUCGGAUUCACUGGGCGUAAAGGGUGCGUAGGUGGUGAGGUAAGUCGGAUGUGAAAGCUCGGAGCUCAACUCCGAAAUGGCAUUGGAAACUACCUUGCUCGAGGGUUGGAGGGGGGACUGGAAUGCUUGGUGUAGCAGUGAAAUGCGUAGAUAUCAAGCGGAACACCAGUGGCGAAGGCGAGUCCCUGGACAACUCCUGACACUGAGGCACGAAAGCUAGGGGGAGCAAACAGGAUUAGAUACCCUGGUAGUCCUAGCCGUAAACGGUGCACGUUUUGCUGUAAAAGGAAUCGACCCCUUUUGUGGCGUAGCCAACGCGUUAAACGUGCCGCCUGGGAAGUACGGUCGCAAGAUUAAAACUCAAAAAAUUGGACGGGGGCCUGCGCAAC